UAUCUUUGAACCUUCCUUCUUAUUCAGAGAGUAACCUUCCUUCUUAUUCAGAGAGUAACCUUCCUUCUUAUUCAGAGAGUAACCUUCCUUCUUAUUCAGAGAGUAAAGGAGUAACAUCCAUUCUGAGAUCAACAGGACUUGCUUUUUCAUUCUGUAGUUUUUAAAGAACUAUGAGAUUAGGAAAGAUUCAAACCCUAAUUUUUUAUUAAAUGAUACUUCCACAAUUUUCUGAAAAUUCCUGUUGUGUUUGAUUUUUUUUUUUCUCCUGCUUUUGACAAAGCAAUUGAAAGCCAAUUGGAACUUAACUUAGAAUAGAUUUAGUUGAGUUAAAAUAGAAUGAAAUGCAUGGUUUGGUCUUCAAAUACAAAGCUGUAAUAGAGUAUUCUAUACUGUCAGUGAAGAUGUUUGUCAGGCUGUACUAAAGAACAGCAUAGCAAAUGCUCUGAAAGUAGAGAACAAUUGCCGUUAAUUCGCUAGAAUAUAAUUGGAUUGUACUUUGUGCCGAUUGCAUCCGAUCAGCUAGGAUGUAACAGAAGUUUGGCCACAACCAUAAUGUCAAGCUCAUUAAUUACAUGGUGGACAUAAUCUGAAGGAGGAGCUGGCAGCUUGCUUUGUAAAUUAGAGGUUAAUUGUUCUGGAGGAAACUCAGCAGGACCGACAAGACAUUGCAUUCCUAAAGAUGCUACAGGGCAUCUGUUUGCAGGAGGCCCAGGCUCCCAAAUCCUGCGCAUGUUGGAACGCGGUGAGGACCAGGAUUUGGGAGCUGCUGCCUAAGUUUUUCUUUUCGGUGUGCUGUGAAUCCCAGCUCCGAGCCCUUAGUAAGCCUGCUGCUUGCCAUCUUUGGCCUCUGUGCUGUAAAUUACUACCCCCCAUUUGAAAUAAACUAUUGAGUCAUGCCCCAAAUGCACUUGCAGAGGGCUGUGAAAGAAAGCCUAGCCAUAUACUGAUGUUGUUCCUGCAGUGCAGGUCUUGCCUGCUGAGAUGAAGGCGGUGUAAACCACAAAAGGCUGCGUGGCAGAGUGGGUUAACUUUGCAAUAAUCCUUUCUUCCCCACCUCCAUUCUUUUCCCCCAUGUACCAUUUGUUCCUAUUUGAGUAUUUUAAAAAGCGUUUGCAAUAUGCUUUUGGGACCGUCCGCUUCCCUCUGCGCUGUUGGGGCUCACCAAACAUGCUGACUUGCCUGCAACAUCCACAGUGGUUAACUUCUUGUUUAAAAUAGUGUUUCUUUCUGUGGAGGAGAAGACAACUGGCAUGCUGGGCUGCAAAUUAUUUGAUACAAAGUAUGCCAUAUUGCCACUGGGUGUCUUCAGCAUAAAGCUCUGGGAGGAUGCUCAUUUUUGGUUCAUUUUAAUAAUGAGAAGAAAAUAUGCUCUUUGUGAGGGUAAAAAAAAAUGUUUUUCCAAUAAAUAUAGCUGCCACUUUGGAUGCAAAAAUUUGAGUUUCUUUUUUUUUUUAUCCUGCUGAAGAAGUUGUUAUUAUUUAUGCAUUUUACAACUCUGACUUAUGUUUAGCCUAGUUCUUGGUACAGUAAAAGAGUAAUAUGUAUAUCAUUGUUUCUUAUUCUUUAAAAAACAAAUACUUUCAGCCUGCCUCUCUCAGAGAUAUCUUAAUGCUUUCAAGCUGGUUAGCAAAUACAUUUUCUUUUGUAUUAUUUGGACAGGUGAUGGGUUAAAGAUUUGUGGGUGUAUUCUAGUUCACUAGUUCCUGUAUAAAGUAUAACCAUGAACUGCCCUCAGAAUAAACCAGGGCUUGGCACAGAUUUGUGUUCUAAGCAGGAUUACACAUAAUUGUCAGAUAAGUGGAAAUAUUCAGGAAAGUGGAAACAUUCCAGAGUUCCAGUGCUUACAGCAUCAAAACAGACAUUUGAAAAAGCAUUAUUUCUACAUUUUUUUUAACAAUCGACAAGCAAGUAACUCUUCAGUUUAACAAAAAAAAAAAUUACUUCUAAUUGCCAAGUUUGUUGUUAUGAAAAUGCUUGAGUUUUUUCCACUCUUCCUUGGUGAACUAUUGGAAAAAUCAGAUAAAAUUACAAUAAAGCAAGAUAUAAUGAUUA